rnacentral:rRNA from 1 species
CCGGGACCAUCCGGUAAGGCUAAAUACUCCCGAGAGACCGAUAGCGAACCAGUACUGUGAAGGAAAGGUGAAAAGCACUUCGAAUAGAAGAGUGAAAUAGUCCCUGAAACCGUGCGCCUACAAGCGGUCGGAGCAGCGUAAGUUGUGACGGCGUGCCUUUUGCAUAAUGAACCUACGAGUUACUUUUUCCGGCAAGGUUAAGCAUUUCAAAAUGUGUAGCCGAAGCGAAAGCGAGUCUGAACAGGGCGAUUAGUCGGAAGGAGUAGACGCGAAACCAAGUGAUCUACCCUUGGUCAGGUUGAAGGUUAGGUAACACUAACUGGAGGACCGAACCGAUAAGCGUUGAAAAGCUUCCGGAUGAACUGAGGGUGGGGGUGAAAGGCUAAUCAAACUUGGAGAUAGCUCGUACUCCCCGAAAUGCAUUUAGGUGCAGCCUUGCGGGUUACUGAUGUGAGGUAGAGCGACUGAUAAGAUGCGAGGGCUUCACCGCCUAUCAAGUCUUGAUAAACUCCGAAUGCGCAGUAGUUCGAUCCCAGGAGUGAGGGCAUGGGUGCUAAGGUCCAUGUCCUAAAGGAGAAGAAUCCGGACCAUCAGCUAAGGUCCCGAAAUAAUUGCUAAGUUGAACUAACGAAGUCAGAUUGCUAAGACAGCUAGGAUGUUGGCUUGGAAGCAGCCAUUCAUUUAAAGAGUGCGUAACAGCUCACUAGUCGAGGAGUUUGGCGUGGAUAAUAAUCGGGCAUUAAGCAAUUUACCGAAGCUAUGGGAUCAGUAAUGAUCGGUAGGGGAGCAUUCCACUCUGCGUCGAAGGUGAAGCGUGAGCUUUGCUGGAGCGUGUGGAAAAGCAAAUGUAGGUAUAAGUAACGAUAAAGGGGGUGAGAAACCCCCUCGCCGAAAGACUAAGGUUUCCUGAUCAACGCUAAUCGGAUCAGGGUUAGUCGGGUCCUAAGGCUCAGCCGAACGGUGAGGCCGAUGGCAGAACAGGUUAAUAUUCCUGUACUACCUUAAGGAGUGACGUGGAGACGGAGGAGUGACAGCGCCGCGGACUGACGGAAUAGUCCGUUGAAGGGUGUAGAUGUUGAUUAUCCCAGGCAAAUCCAGGAUAAGAGUCGAACCUGAUAGUAUACCAAAUUCUUCGGAAUAAGGUAAUAGUGCGUGUAAGCAUACUCCCAAGAAAAUCCGCUAAACUUAAUCUUUAAGGUACCCGUACCGCAAACGGACACACGUAGUCGGGUUGAAUAUACUAAGGCGCUUGAGUGAUUCACGGUUAAGGAACUAGGCAAAUUGACCCUGUAACUUCGGGAUAAAGGGUCCCAACGAGAGUUGGGCGCAGAGAAUAGGUCCAGGCAACUGUUUAACAAAAACACAGGGCUGUGCCAAAUUGAAAGAUUACGUAUACAGCCUGACACCUGCCCGGUGCUGGAAGGUUAAGAGGAGAUGUCAUCGCAAGAGAAGCAUUGAAUUGAAGCCCCAGUAAACGGCGGCCGUAACUAUAACGGUCCUAAGGUAGCGAAAUUCCUUGUCGGGUAAGUUCCGACCUGCACGAAUGGUGUAAUGAUCUGGACGCUGUCUCAACCGUGAGCUCAGUGAAAUUGUAGUAUCGGUGAAGAUGCCGAUUACCCGCGAUGGGACGAAAAGACCCCGUGAACCUUUACUAUAGCUUAACAUUGAAUUUGGGUAAUUGAUGUGUAGGAUAGGCCGGAGACUUCGAAGCAGGUACGCCAGUAUUUGUGGAGUCGCUGUUGAAAUACGGCCCUUUGAUUAUUUGAGUUCUAACUCGUUGUUACGAGGACACUGUUUGGUGGGUAGUUUGACUGGGGUGGUCGCCUCCAAAAGUGUAACGGAGGCUUCUAAAGGUGCCCUCAGGACGAUUGGUAACCGUCCGUAGAGUGUAAUGGCAUAAGGGCGCUUGACUGGGAGACAGACAAGUCGAUCAGGUAGGAAACUAGAGCAUAGUGAUCCGGUGUUUCCGUAUGGA